GCCCGGGUGGCUCAGUCGGUUGAGCAUCCAACUCUUGAUAUUGGCUCAGGUCGCCAUCUUGAGGUCGUGGGAUCGAGCCCCACAUCGGGCU
rnacentral:tRNA from 1 species